AUUUCAAAUAAGUUUUACCUAGUUUUCAAUCUUUGUUUCUGAUCUAAAAUCGAACAAAGAUUCCUCAAAAUUUAGAGACAGAAUUGUUGAAGACUAAUAGAGAUUCAAAUUUCAACCUUAUUUCUCUCCGGCAACAAAGGUGUUGGUUUUGCAUUAUUAAAUGAGAUAGCACUGUGUUGAAUCUGUAUGAAAUGGAAGUGGUAAUGGGCGAGGUGGCACCAACUGCUCCAUCAUAGACGCUGACAACAAUGAAUUUCAGAUGAAGUAAUAGCGACUUAAUAGUUGCAGCAUCUCAGAUCACAAGUGGUCUAGUUGCAGCUUUUAUGUAUUGUCAUUUGUGGCUAAGCUAGAUCCUGCUGAUGAUUAGAUGGCUGAGAUGUUCAAAUAAAAAUGGAUUUUGAGGGUUGCAGUGUACGAUUGGGUUUAUUCUCAGUUGGGAGAAAUGGAGGAACUGUCUCGAAUUGAUAGGUCAUACUUGGCCUGUAUUUUAUGCUAUUGAAAAUCAGAGGAGAAACUGAAGCUUACAGCCAUGAGUUCGUUGGGUAUUUGCUAAUGCUGGUGGUGUCUCGAGUACCCACGAUGGGAUUUGUUUGUUGCUGGUGUUGAUUAUUAGUGGAUGUACAGGUAGCUCGGACAUGAAAUAAACCCAAGUUAUAAAUCAAACUGUGUGUACAUGAGCAAGCAGAAGAUGCACUGAAAAAGAAUAAAAUAAGAAGCCGCUUAAUGAUGAGAAGCUUUAUAGAGGUGUACUGGGUAUACAGAUCGUAAAGCUUGUUUAGGAGAGAAUAUACAGUUGCUGGUGACAAAUCUGGUGGAGCACAUGGACCACUUAUGGCUUCUACUCAUGUUAGGACGUCUGCCAGGUAGGAAUAUCAACUAGAUAUAUAUGUAAUGAUUAUAAGGAUACUGGUUAUUAUGAGUUUGGAGAUUCUUGCAAGUUUAUGCAUGAUAGAGAAGAUUAUAAGUCUGGAUGGCAUACAGAGAGGGAACGGGCCGGAGGAAGCUGAGAAGAUUUGAAGGAGGAACUUAGCUUUCUUUGAGCAUUAAGCAAAUGUGCCAAAAAAUUGGUGAGCUUCCACGUCUAACCUGACUUGAACAUUUAUCCUCACUGACAAAGAGAGGAAAAGCAAGCGUUAAGCAAGGAAGAACUCAGCUCCGGACAUAUGUGCGCUUCAGUGUGAGACAUACAGAAUAGAUGGAUGUGACUACU